AUGAAUGCUGGUAAAUUCCAAUCUACAAAAGAUAAAGCGCUUAAGCGGGUUUCAGACCGGAUAGAAAAAUAUGCUUCUAGUGGUGUGAAGGAGCUCCAGAUUAAGUCAGUCGUUCAGUCUCUUCCGGUCUAUGCCAUGGGGAUUUUUAAAUUUCCUGCUUCUAUUUGUGAAGAGUUAUCCCAAAUCAUUAGAAAUUUUUGGUGGGGUGACCAGGAGGAUAGGAAGAAAACUCAUUGGCUAGCAUGGGAUAAGUUGACAAGACCCAAAGGAGAAGGAGGUAUGGGCUUUAGAGAUUUGAGAUUAUUUAAUCAAGCGCUUUUGGCGAAACAGGCUUGGCGUUUAUUGGUCUUUCUGGACUCGUUAUGUGCAAAGGUGAUGAAAGCAAAGUAUUAUCCUCAUGGGCAUUUGCUAGACACUGUAUUCCCUCAGGUGACAUCGACUACUUGGCAAGGUAUUAUGCAUGGUUUUGAGCUGCUGAAAAAGGGGGUCAUUUGGAGAUUUCGCGACGGUGCAAAUAUAAAUAUUUGGAGAGACAAUUGGCUUCCUAGAGAUUCGGGGCUUCAAAUUUCAGCAAAAAAGAACAGAACCAGACUCAAAUGUGUGUCUGAAUUAUUCAUUAGUGGCUCAACAAGAUGGGAUGAGCAUCUUAUUCGGCAUCUAUUCUUUCCACAUGAUGCGGACGAAAUUUUGAAGUUGCGUGUUCUGACUGUCGGUGAUGGAGAUUUCAUUGCUUGGCACUACGAAAAAAAUGGUUUAUUCUCAGUUAAAAGUGCGUAUAAGUUGGCGCUCAAACUUAAGGACUCUAUGAUUGAGUUAGGGAGUUCAAGUGGUGCUGCUAAUGGGGAAAGGAGGCUAUGGAAUAUUAUUUGA
rnacentral:rRNA from 1 species